AUGGAGGAGAUUCGGGCCUUGAUCAAGUCUUCUUCCCCUUCGUCAUCUUCAAGGCGGCGACGUUCAAGCCACAAGCCUUCGAAGCGCGAAAAUGAUGCAAGCGCAAUUCGUCCACGUCCACAUCUACAUGGCGAUCACCAUCACGUUCGUGAUCCACAUCGUCAUGAAGGGCAAGUCACCUCCAAGCAUCAUGUGCACGACGACAACGAACUCCAUCGAGCUCAAGCACGACAACGGCACCAUCAUCAUGAAGAUGCUUGCCAAGCGCAAAUGUACAAGUCCCAACAAGCCCUACUUCACGCCAAGUCCAAGCUUCAUGAGCAAAAGAGAAGACCGCGAGAUGAGCACCAACAAGACGAAGCUACGGCUACCACCACCACUUCGGCAUCUUCGCCAAGUGUUCUCAAGGCAUCUUCGCCUUUGGACGUACGACAUCUUCGCCUACCUCCCACGAGUACGCCUACAACGAUUUCAUCAAGUCCAAGGCGACCACCUACAAGUGAGGGCGACACUUCCAUCUUCGGAAGCCCCUCAAGGAAGAUGGCCAAGCAUGGGAAUUUCACUUCGGUCAUGGAGACUAGCUACGAGGUGCCACAUCAUAUGGGCCUCCCACACCAAGAUGGUGACAAGAAGGUCGAGCAAGCGCCAUCCCCUCCGACCACGGCGAUAGGAGUUGAGCAUGUAGACAUUUGCACCUACAUCUCUCUGACACCCACAUAUGUCAAGAUACUCCAUUUUUCAUGUGAGGAGAACCACCACCCUACGAGUUAG
rnacentral:rRNA from 1 species